rnacentral:rRNA from 1 species
GGGUCAGUAGGUUGGUCGUGCCACCGGUACGUACUGGUCUCACUGAUUCCUCCUUCCUGAAGAACCUUAAUGCCAUUAAUUUGGUGUUGCGGGGAAACAGGACUGUUACUUUGAAAAAAUUAGAGUGUUUAAAGCAAGCUAACGCUUGAAUACAUUAGCAUGGAAUAAUGUAACAGGACGAUCGAUCCUAUUUUGUUGGUUUCUAGGAUUGACGUA